CCUACGGGUGGCAGCAGUGGGGAAUAUUGCUCAAUGGGCGAAAGCCUGAUGCAGCAACGCCGCGUGAGCGAUGAAGGCCUUCGGGUUGUAAAGCUCUGUUCUUAAGGAAGAUAAUGACGGUAUCUGAGGAGUAAGCACCGGCUAACUACGUGCCAGCAGCCGCGGUAAUACGUAGGGGGCUAGCGUUAUUCGGAAUUACUGGGCGUAAAGGGGGCGUAGGUGGUUUAUUAAGUCAGAUGUGAAAUGCUACGGCUUAACCCUAGUAAGGCUUUUGAAACUGGGAACCUUGAGUGCAGGAGAGGAAGGUGGAAUUCGUGGUGUAGCGGUGAAAUGCGUAGAUAUUAGGAGGAACACCAAUUGCGAAGGCGGCUUACUGGACUGUAACUGACGCUGAUGCACGAAAGCGUGGGGAGCAAACAGGAUUAGAUACCCCAGUAGUC
rnacentral:rRNA from 1 species